rnacentral:tmRNA from 1 species
UUAUUACUCCAUUACGAUAGACAAGAAGUAUAAACUUUAAAUGUAAUUGCCUAUGAAGAAUAACCAUUAAAGAAUAAAAAACAAAGAGAGUUCAAUAAUAUAUUAUAAAAUUUGGUGCACUUUUAGGUGUCCUGUUAUAAAGAAAAUUGGUGCACUUUUGAAGGUGCACCAAAAUAUAGAAACAUUUCAUUUUACUUAUUGUUAAUCGGAGACGAGACAUCCCGCCAGUGGUUCCCACCUUAUUCCGGUCGGCAUACGGGGUGCAGUCAAUUUAAGGUUAGUCUUAGCCCACCUUUGGCGAAAGGCGAAAAUUUAAGAGGAUAAGCGAUGGCUUGGGUGUCACUUUCCGGACCAUCGUCGAAAACCAAUAAGCGACUAAGCAUGUAGAAAGCAUAUGGAUUCCGUGUUUGGACCAGGGUUCGAUUCCCUGCUGCUCCACCG